CUCCUGACCCCCAAAUUCUCAACCAUGUCUGCCAAGUUAUUUUUGACAUAUUCAUAAGUAAUGAUCAUAGAUUCCAGAUAUUAGGACAAUGAUGUCUUUAGUGGGUGUAUUAUUCAUUCCACAAACAACCCUCAUCAUCCACACAAUGGUCUUCCCCUAAGGUAGAAUAAAAAUAUCACAAGGCAGAUUUACGAGGCGAUCGACCUAGAAAAAACCUGAGAAUCUAGGACUGUCUGAUGUGUGGAUGUCAAAUCCUGGGAGAUUCUGAGUCUCUGCUCUAUGUGGACUCUAUGUUGUGUAGCCAUUUGUGGAAGGCUUCUGUGAUUUUGUGACCUAGAGAAAAUGAAUCUCUGCUAAAAUCAAAUCUAAGAAAGAUUGGCAAAGGGAAUUUAAAGAUUUCCUAAAUUUUUGGAAUUUCCCUAUGCAUUAAAGCAUGAGAAGUGGCAAUAAUUCAAACCAAUGAUGCCCUCCAAGAAUGAGGAUUUUUCCAAUGCAUUAGGUUGGGUCCCCUCAGUGAGAAGGAUGCCAAAGAUUCGCAUGCAGGCAGUAUAUUUACAAAGUGCAGGAAACAAGCAAAUGAGCAAGGGAGGGGAGGAGGGAAAGGGAAAGUGAAAGGUGCCUCAGAAGGAGCCACCUCUGAGGAUGACGAGAGCUCAAGCCCACAUAGAAACACAGGAAAAAUGCCUCUGUUAUUCCACCUGAGAGGUGCCAGAUGUGACAUCCAGAUGACCCAGUCUCCAUCCUCCCUGUCUGCAUCUGUAGGAGGCAGAGUCACCAUCACUUGCCGGGCGAGUCAGGGCAUUAGCAAUAAUUUAAAUUGGUAUCAGCAGAAACCAAGGAAAACUCCUAAGCUCCUGAUCUAUGCUGCAUCCAGUCUGCAAAGUGGGAUUCCCUCUCGGUUCAGUGACAGUGGAUCUGGGACAGAUUACACUCUCACCAUCAGCAGCCUGCAGCCUGAAGAUUUUGCAACUUAUUACUGUCAACAGAGUGACAGUAACCCUCCCACAGUGUUACAAGUCAUAACAUAAACCCCAAGGAAGCAGAUGUGUGAGGCUGGGCUGCCCCAAUGCUCCUUCUGGUGCCUCUAUCUGCUGAGGGAAGUUCUCAAACUCAGUCAGGUUUGGAAAGUCAUCGGGAGAUUUUCCUAGAGGAGGCCAGGGAGGUUCCUCUGAACGCUAAGCCUCUUUCGCCCUCAUCCCCAACAGAAAAGACGUGACAAUGCCUGUCCUGACUGAAUAAAGAAGAGAGAUAAGUCCAGCUGAGGAGUCUGUGUUAUGGGAUAAUCGGAAUUUGUACAGCAAAAGAGAAGCUAUUCUCAGUAUUUCAAGGAGAAAUUAUUCAAGUUGAAUAAAUUAGAGUCUAAACCACA
rnacentral:lncRNA from 1 species